CGUACACUCCUGCGGGAGGCAGCAGUGGGGAAUAUUGGACAAUGGGCGCAAGCCUGAUCCAGCCAUGCCGCGUGAGUGAUGAAGGCCCUAGGGUUGUAAAGCUCUUUCACCGGUGAAGAUAAUGACGGUAACCGGAGAAGAAGCCCCGGCUAACUUCGUGCCAGCAGCCGCGGUAAUACGAAGGGGGCUAGCGUUGUUCGGAUUUACUGGGCGUAAAGCGCACGUAGGCGGACUAUUAAGUCAGGGGUGAAAUCCCGGGGCUCAACCCCGGAACUGCCUUUGAUACUGGUAGUCUUGAGUUCGAGAGAGGUGAGUGGAAUUCCGAGUGUAGAGGUGAAAUUCGUAGAUAUUCGGAGGAACACCAGUGGCGAAGGCGGCUCACUGGCUCGAUACUGACGCUGAGGUGCGAAAGCGUGGGGAGCAAACAGGAUUAGAAACCCCGGUAGUCCCAUGAU
rnacentral:rRNA from 1 species